ACUGCGGCAAUGGGUGAGCCCCACACCCAGCUGCGCCCUGAGCACCCCAGCAUCCCCCGCAGGCUCCUGGAGCCACUCAGGCUUUGGAUUUGCUUCCUUACACGUCGUGGGCUUGAGAGCCUGACUUGAAAUAUAACGUUAGUGGGUUUGCGGUAAAAGCGGCAGAGAGGAUAGGAUGACAAGCGGGGCAGAGGGGACUGAUGGAAAGCAGGUGUGGAGGAGGAAGAUAGGAGGAGGAGAAAGAGGAAAACAUGACUGACUAAUUAGACUUUGACAACCAAUUAGCAGAUUUUUAGCUUUGCUGAGAAUCAAGUUAGCGCCGGGAAAGUAGGAGGCAAGGAAACCAAACACGCAACGCGCUCCUCUCCUACCGCUGCUUUAGGGCUGCCCCUAACACCGACCCCAUCCAGCGAGGCCAGGCCUUGCUCGGGAUGGAUGGCCACAUCCAUGCAGGUGGAAGUGGGGGGCAUGGCUCUGCCAGCAAAGUGGAGCUCACCGGGACUCCCACUGAGCCGCAAAGCAGAGGAGCUCUCAGCAGCCUUCUCGCAAGAGGACGCGAGGCGCUGCUUGGAACAGACGUCGUUUGUGUGCACCCGCCUGUGUUUUCCCCCCCAGCUAAAGAAAAAAAAAAUAAUAAUGGUCUCUGCAGCCAGGAAUAUCUCGCCCUGCCUUCAGAAUGAUUUCAGGUCUCCCGAGGACAGUUUACGGUCUCGUGCCCUGGUCCUCCCGCACUGCCCUGACUAAUGACAGCUUUGUAAUCCAGUUGGGAAAUAAUCUCACAUCACUGCACUCGGAGCUCGUGAGCUGUAAAACUUCUGGAUUGAACUCCUUCUCCUGGUCACUCCAGCAAGCUGCAAGCAAAUGCAUGAGGGAUGUGGUCAUAAUUGUCAACAGAUUUGUAAAUUUGUGUCAUUAGUUAUGCGCAUAAUGGAUUUUAUUCUAAUGAGCUUGUUCAUAAGAAUGCCAGGAGGACUUGGCCCCUUUGGAGGAAAUAAACUACAAACUUUGCCCAUGCAUUUUAAAACACGUCAGUGGCACAUACAGGGGGAAAAACAACAUUUCCUCUCCUUUCAGAGCACUGCAACACUCACUUAAGUGAAGCUGAAGCAAUAAGCCGCCACUCCUUCCCCCACUGUAAGCUCCUUGUCUACCUUUGCUGGUGUUUCUCCCAUAUACACAGACACUGGCAGAUGGGGGCUUGUUUUUUUUCCACCCAUCAAGUUAAAAAUCUGGAAACCAUCACAGAUCUUUGGGCUAAAGAUACCGGUGUGGAAAUAUCACAGCAGCCCUUUCUCAUGCCCUCCUGAAUGACAUCUAUCUGGGGAUGCAACACUGCCCGAGCCUCAAAGCCAGGCGGAACUGCUGGUCCCUCCUCUGCGCCCCAGGUUAUGGGGUCCUCUCCACAGGGCCUGCUGCACAUGGAGGAGCAGCAAAACUAGUCAGUAUUAAAUCAAUUUUUACUAUAUCUAUUACCAUUAAAUCUAUUCUUAU